UACGUAGGGUGCAAGCGUUGUCCGGAAUUAUUGGGCGUAAAGAGCUCGUAGGCGGUUUGUCGCGUCGGGAGUGAAAUCCACUGGCUUAACUGGUGGCUUGCUUUCGAUACGGGCAGACUGGAGUUCGGCAGGGGAGACUGGAAUUCCUGGUGUAGCGGUGAAAUGCGCAGAUAUCAGGAGGAACACCGGUGGCGAAGGCGGGUCUCUGGGCCGAUACUGACGCUGAGGAGCGAAAGCGUGGGGAGCGAACAGG
rnacentral:rRNA from 1 species